rnacentral:rRNA from 1 species
CACGCCUAACACAUGCAAGUCGAACGGUGGCAGCAAUGUCAUAGUGGCGCACGGGUGCGUAACACGUAGCUAACCUACCCAGAACUGGGGGAUAGCCCGCCGAAAGGCGGAUUAACACCGCAUAACAUCUACUGGUGGCAUCACUAGUUGAUUAAAUCUACGGAGGUUCUGGAUGGGGCUGCGGGUCAUUAGCUAGUUGGUAAGGUAACGGCUUACCAAGGCGACGAUGACUAGGGGAGCUGAGAGGCUGGUCCCCCACACGGGCACUGAGAUACGGGCCCGACUCCUACGGGAGGCAGCAGUAGGGAAUAUUGGGCAAUGGGCGAGAGCCUGACCCAGCCAUGCCGCGUGCAGGAAGAAGGCUUUCUGAGUCGUAAACUGCUUUUGAUAGGGAAGAAUAAGCACUACGUGUAGUGUGAUGACGGUACCUACAGAAUAAGCACCGGCUAACUCCGUGCCAGCAGCCGCGGUAAU